rnacentral:rRNA from 1 species
CCUGGUAAUUAUUGCGAAGGGGCCACACCCGAUCCCAUCCCGAACUCGGAAGUUAAGUCCUUCAGCGCCGAUGGUACUUUGUCUU